AGAGUUUGAUCCUGGCUCAGGACGAACGCUGGCGGCGUGCCUAAUACAUGCAAGUCGAGCGGACUUAAAAAGCUUGCUUUUUAAGUUAGCGGCGGACGGGUGAGUAACACGUGGGCAACCUACCUGUAAGACUGGGAUAACUUCGGGAAACCGGAGCUAAUACCGGAUAAUCCUUUCGUGCACAUGCAGGAAAGUUUAAAAGACGGUUUACGCUGUCACUUACAGAUGGGCCCGCGGCGCAUUAGCUAGUUGGUGAGGUAACGGCUCACCAAGGCGACGAUGCGUAGCCGACCUGAGAGGGUGAUCGGCCACACUGGGACUGAGACACGGCCCAGACUCCUACGGGAGGCAGCAGUAGGGAAUCUUCCGCAAUGGACGAAAGUCUGACGGAGCAACACCGCGUGAGUGAUGAAGGUUUUCGGAUCGUAAAACUCUGUUGUUAUGGAAGAACAAGUACAAGAGUAACUGCUUGUACCUUGACGGUACCUAACCAGAAAGCCACGGCUAACUACGUGCCAGCAGCCGCGGUAAUACGUAGGUGGCAAGCGUUAUCCGGAAUUAUUGGGCGUAAAGCGCGCGCAGGCGGUUUCUUAAGUCUGAUGUGAAAGCCCACGGCUCAACCGUGGGAGGGUCAUUGGAAACUGGGGA
rnacentral:rRNA from 1 species